rnacentral:rRNA from 1 species
AAAAGCCMAAAUUUGUAAUCUGGCUCUUUUAGAGUCCGAGUUGUAAUUUUGAGAACUGUUUUCCGUGCUGGACCAUGUACAAGUCUGUUGAAAAACAGCAUCAUUGAGGGUGAAAAUCCCGUUCAUGAUAUGGACUACCAGUGCAAUGUGAUACAGUCUCUAAGAGUCGAGUUGUUUGGGAAUGCAGCUCAAAGUGGGUGGUAAAUUCCAUCUAAGGCUAAAUAUUGGUGAGAGACCGAUAGCAAACAAGUACCGUGAGGGAAAGAUGAAAAGAACUUUGGAAAGAGAGUUAACAGUACGUGAAAUUGUUAAAAGGGAAACAUUUGAAGUUAGACUUGUUAUUGUUGGUUCAGCCUUUUAUAGGGUGUAUUCCAAUGGUUAACAGACCAGCAUCAAUUUUUGGGUGAUGGAAAAGGGUCUUGGAAAUGUAGCAAUUUCGGUUGUGUUAUAGUCCUUGAUUUUGAAUACAUUGCUUAGGAAAAUUACAACUCGGACUCUAAAAGAGCCAGAUUACUA